GUUCUGCUGGCGUAACAGGAUAACGCGGAGACCUCCUAAGUCUCAGUUGCUGGUUCGAGUCCAGCGCGGAACACCA
rnacentral:tRNA from 1 species